rnacentral:rRNA from 1 species
AUGAACGCUGGCGGCGUGCCUAAUACCUGCAAGUCGAGCGAACAGACGAGGAGCUUGCUCCUUUGACGUUAGCGGCGGACGGGUGAGUAACACGUGGAUAACCUACCUAUAAGACUGGGAUAACUUCGGGAAACCGGAGCUAAUACCGGAUAACAUGUUGAACCGCAUGGUUCAACAGUGAAAGACGGUCUUGCUGUCACUUAUAGAUGGAUCCGCGCCGCAUUAGCUAGUUGGUAAGGUAACGGCUUACCAAGGCAACGAUGCGUAGCCGACCUGAGAGGGUGAUCGGCCACACUGGAACUGAGACACGGUCCAGACUACUACGGGAGGCAGCAGUAGGGAAUCUUCCGCAAUGGGCGAAAGCCUGACGGAGCAACGCCGCGUGAGUGAAGAAGGUCUUCGGAUCGUAAAACUCUGUUAUUAGGGAAGAACAAAUGUGUAAGUAACUAUGCACGUCUUGACGGUACCUAAUCAGAAAGCCACGGCUAACUACGUG